GACGAACGCUGGCGGCGUGCCUAAUACAUGCAAGUCGAGCGGACUUGUGGGAGCUUGCUCCUGCAGGUUAGCGGCGGACGGGUGAGUAACACGUGGGCAACCUACCUGUAAGACUGGGAUAACUUCGGGAAACCGGAGCUAAUACCGGAUGACACUAAGGAACUCCUGUUCCUUAGUUGAAAGAUGGCUUCGGCUAUCACUUACAGAUGGGCCCGCGGCGCAUUAGCUAGUUGGUGAGGUAACGGCUCACCAAGGCGACGAUGCGUAGCCGACCUGAGAGGGUGAUCGGCCACACUGGGACUGAGACACGGCCCAGACUCCUACGGGAGGCAGCAGUAGGGAAUCUUCCGCAAUGGACGAAAGUCUGACGGAGCAACGCCGCGUGAGCGAUGAAGGCCUUCGGGUCGUAAAGCUCUGUUGUUAGGGAAGAACAAGUGCUAGUUAAAUAAGCUGGCACCUUGACGGUACCUAACCAGAAAGCCACGGCUAACUACGUGCCAGCAGCCGCAGUAACAC
rnacentral:rRNA from 1 species